rnacentral:rRNA from 1 species
GACGAACGCUGGCGGCGUGCCUAAUACAUGCAAGUAGAACGCUGAAGAGAGGAGCUUGCUCUUCUUGGAUGAGUUGCGAACGGGUGAGUAACGCGUAGGUAACCUGCCUUGUAGCGGGGGAUAACUAUUGGAAACGAUAGCUAAUACCGCAUAACAAUGGAUGACACAUGUCAUUUAUUUGAAAGGGGCAAUUGCUCCACUACAAGAUGGACCUGCGUUGUAUUAGCUAGUAGGUGAGGUAAUGGCUCACCUAGGCGACGAUACAUAGCCGACCUGAGAGGGUGAUCGGCCACACUGGGACUGAGACACGGCCCAGACUCCUACGGGAGGCAGCAGUAGGGAAUCUUCGGCAAUGGGGGCAACCCUGACCGAGCAACGCCGCGUGAGUGAAGAAGGUUUUCGGAUCGUAAAGCUCUGUUGUAAGUCAAGAACGGGUGUGAGAGUGGAAAGUUCACACUGUGACGGUAGCUUACCAGAAAGGGACGGCUAACUACGUGCCAGCAGCCGCGGUAAUACGUAGGUCCCGAGCGUUGUCCGGAUUUAUUGGGCGUAAAGCGAGCGCAGGCGGUUUGAUAAGUCUGAAGUUAAAGGCUGUGGCUCAACCAUAGUUCGCUUUGGAAACUGUCAAACUUGAGUGCAGAAGGGGAGAGUGGAAUUCCAUGUGUAGCGGUGAAAUGCGUAGAUAUAUGGAGGAACACCGGUGGCGAAAGCGGCUCUCUGGUCUGUAACUGACGCUGAGGCUCGAAAGCGUGGGGAGCGAACAGGAUUAGAUACCCUGGUAGUCCACGCCGUAAACGAUGAGUGCUAGGUGUUGGAUCCUUUCCGGGAUUCAGUGCCGCAGCUAACGCAUUAAGCACUCCGCCUGGGGAGUACGACCGCAAGGUUGAAACUCAAAGGAAUUGACGGGGGCCCGCACAAGCGGUGGAGCAUGUGGUUUAAUUCGAAGCAACGCGAAGAACCUUACCAGGUCUUGACAUCCCGAUGCUAUUUCUAGAGAUAGAAAGUUACUUCGGUACAUCGGUGACAGGUGGUGCAUGGUUGUCGUCAGCUCGUGUCGUGAGAUGUUGGGUUAAGUCCCGCAACGAGCGCAACCCCUACUGUUAGUUGCCAUCAUUCAGUUGGGCACUCUAGCGAGACUGCCGGUAAUAAACCGGAGGAAGGUGGGGAUGACGUCAAAUCAUCAUGCCCCUUAUGACCUGGGCUACACACGUGCUACAAUGGUUGGUACAACGAGUUGCGAGUCGGUGACGGCGAGCUAAUCUCUUAAAGCCAAUCUCAGUUCGGAUUGUAGGCUGCAACUCGCCUACAUGAAGUCGGAAUCGCUAGUAAUCGCGGAUCAGCACGCCGCGGUGAAUACGUUCCCGGGCCU